GUGCGUAGGGCGAGCAAAGCCAUGGCUGAGAAAACUGUCUAGAAGUCCUGCCUCUGAAUGAAGCUUUUCUGGGGAAGGUUUGCAUCUGGAGAGUUACUAUAAAUGAGUAUCACAAGAUGAAAUGAAUGGCCCCUCCCAGAGGUGGAACUGCUGACUCUGUGGAAAACACCGAAACUCACCCGGAUCAUGACGGCAACAAGAAAACAAGCAUCAGCGCCAUGUUACGCUAACUAUUAGCAGUUCAACGAUCCAGUGAAGAUCCACCACUCUGGUUAGUAGUGGCUUCAUUAAAGCAUAAGGAACAGUGCAGAGAGACGCACAGACGAUAAGACUGAGCUCAGGCCAAACUAGCAGCUUCCUCUGAGUGAGUCCAGCUACAGGAGAGAAAAGUGGAAAACUCCAACGCUGCUGCUUCAAGCUGC